CUGGCGUGCUGCGGUUUGUGGGGUUGCAAAGAGUCAGACACGACUGAGCGACUGAAGUGAUACUGAACUGAUGAAGAUUCCUUGUUCAUCAGGGUGUACUUUCAUCAGUGACUGAAGUAGCUGAAGACUUGAUCCUUGCGGAACCUGACAGCGAGCAACAUUCUUUUACUUACAAAAAGGAAAAAAAAAAAGGUUCACAUUUCUUGCUGGACUCAUGUAAUAGGCCUCUCAACCUAAUAGGACAGAACUAGUCACUACAUUGGCUGCUUCUUGGGAGCCAUCGAAGAAAGGCCAAGAAUCAAUAGGAGGAGAGGGUUCUGCUGCUGUCCUGGCACAAAGUCAUGACCUUUAAAACUGUGUGUGGCUCAAGGCGGGGUGGGAGUAGGGGGCCAGUUCUGGUUGUGGCUGGGCCUCCUCCAGUAGGUAAACGGAAAAGCCUCUGCAGACUUCCAAAAUUUGUAAAUAAAUCCUCCUCUGUGAUAAUGAAGGACUGAAAAUACUGUAUUUGAUACAAUAACCAAUUAAGGAAAAAUCUGCUCCUUAAAUUUUUAAGUCCAGGAUCUUUUGAAAAGGGUCUGCAGUGAGGGAAGAAUGUUUCUGUGGCUCUAAUGUCAGUAAAUAUGUUAAAACGUAUUGAAUGAUUGCAGAUGGCUAACAAGGGUGGGUAAAUGGGUCAUUGCUACAAUUCUUUAAACCAUUCUGUAUGUUUAAAAAUGGUUACAAUAAAAUGUUGGAAGUAAAGCUGCCCACAGUCAAAAGACCUGCCGGCAGCUUCACAAACCAUGUUCUGGCAGCAAAA